UCCCAUAUUGAAAGAUGCCAAGAGACCAGAUUGGUUUCACAACCUCUAGAAGACCUUGAUCCUUUCCUGAUCACCCAUGCCAGUGAGCACACAGGGAUUUCCUGAAGGACCUUUGAAAUAAAGAACAUUUCAUGGCAGAGGGUCACCCUUGACAUUCCUGCCUCGUGACACUGUAAUAAAGCCAUUUAGCCAGGCAGCUUCAGAGAGAGGGCUCAGCCCAGACUAUUUUCUAUGCUGUGACAGAUUCAGCUCCUCCAUGGAUCAGCAUACUCAGAUAAAGGCCACUGUCCAGAUGACUUUGAUGUGUGGCAUUUCCUUCUCAACACCAAGUUUCUGGCAUCACUGGACCAGAAAUAAUCAUGGAGACAUCCACAUCAGCUCCUCAGCAGCUAAGUCUCAAAUAGAGACGGGGUUUCACCGUGUUAGCCAGGAUGGUCUCGAUCUCCUGACCUCGUGAUCCACCCGCCUCGGCCUCCCAAAGUGCUGGGAUUACAAGCGUGAGCCACCAUGCCCAGCCCAAAGUAAGUCUUUUAAUUCCCAGUCUUGGACCACUGUGCAAGACUAAUCGCAAAGUCCCAUGCAAUGCAAAGGGGCUAGGAAAUGUAGUUUCCCUAACUACAAAAAGGUGAAGAGAACUGGUGACAUUGAAUUCUAAUAAUAAUAAUGUUUACCUCAAAACUCCAUCAAAAUAAGACAAGUUUAACUUGAAACUGCACCUGUCUGUACUGGGUUGAAUAAUAUUCCUCAAAAUUUAUGUCUACCAGGAACUUCAGUGUAGGAUCUUUCUGGGAAAUAAGGUCUUUGGAGAUGUAGUUAGUUAAGAUGAGGUCAUACUGCUUUAGGAUGGGCCCUAAACCCAAAGACUGGUGUCCUUAGAAGAAGGUCAUAUGAAGAUUUAGAGAGGCACACAGGGAGGCUAUCUGUGACAAUGGAGAUAGAGAUUGAAGGGAUGCAUCUACAAGUAAAAGAAUGCCAUUGGUGGCCAGCAGCCACCAGAAACUGGACAUGGAACAGAUUCCCUUCAGAUCAUCCAGAAGAAGCCAGCCUUGUCAAAACCUUGAUUUCAGAAUUCUAGCUUCUAGAACUGUGAAAGCAUAAAUUUCUGCUACUUUAAGGCAAGAAGUUUGUGGUAAUCUGUUAUGGCAACCCUAAGAAAUUAAUAUACCAUCCCCUAAAAAAAAAAAAAAAAAAGUAGUAGGUAGACAGUUAAUCACUUCUCACUUGUUCCUGACCUACAGACAAAUGCAGAAACACAGUCACAGCAGCUCCCCGUAGGGGCUUGGCUUUGUUUUAACUCAGGAUAUUCAUUUUGAAGGAAUAGUCAUAAAAUACAUUACGCUGAACUAUUUAAACUCAACGGGGCAUCAUUUAAUGUUCGACCAAAGGAUCCAUCUGCUUUCCUUAGGUUAAUAUUCUGUUAAAGUAUUUGUUCUGGAACUCUGGAAAUUUGUGAAGAAUUUGAAGUCUCCAGGGAAGCUAAGAGCAUUUAGAAUGGAACUAAUGGUCUGUACAUUUCAUUGUAUUUUUACUGCUUCAGCAGCAAUGUAGAGGUUAGGCAUAUUGAGUUGGGGUUAGAAACUAGGGUUAAACACUUAAAAGAAUGUCAGGCAUUCUGUGCCAAGGUCACCAUUUAGCAAUUUCACAAAUAACUAAAUGGAAUGCCAAAAAUAGGUUACAAUAAAAAUCAGGCCAAUGAGAAGACAGAAGUGAAGAACUUAAAUUAUUUAUUUAUUUUAAUGAUAUAUCAGACAUCUUGUAAGAUACCAUCUCUCUUCUGGAGAAUACUUUAUUCUCUACUCCAAUUGCAGUCUUCCAGCAAUAGAUUAAAUCAUGCCAUUUCCAGAAUGUUUUUAGCCUGUUUUGUUUUCCUAAGAUCACUCUCUACUGAAUGUUUGCAAUGAAGCAAAAUAAACUACAAAACACUGCAAUUUCUAUUACAUCAAUUUAUUGACAUUAAUAUUUAGUUUCACUUUGCAAAUGCAACCACCUUUGAAGCAUGCUUAUUGUUCUUUGCUGCAUCUUAUUUCAAGCUAAUUUCUAUCAAUGUAGGUAUCUGAGCUUUCGUGGCAUAUCUAGUUAGAUGAAAGAAAAAUCACUGAAGUGGCCUACUGCAACAAUGAAAUACAUUCCGGCAUUAUCUGUGUUAACACUGCCAUUUGUACCUCUAAGGGUCUAAUUUACUUCAGCAAUGUUCCAUGAAGGGCAUUGGCCAAUGUAAAAAAUCUGUAUUGAGGAUUAUAGUCAAAUAUAUAAUUUUAACAUAUCCAAAUGGAUGUAUGUGUAAUUACUGAAUCUAUAAUAACUAAUACCAUCAUAUCUUGAAAGAUAGGAUUUUCAUGCUUAUAUCUCCAAUAAAUUGACAUGGUUUUCCUUAAGAGUGAAUUGAUUUUAUAUUACCAUAACUGGACUAAAAUAGACUGAAAUGUUCUUUGCGAUGAUUGCCAUUAAGUGAAACAAGAAUAUUAAAAUGAGUAGCUAGGCAAGAAAACAGACCUCUUAUAUCUCUGUAGAAUAUAGUACUUAUUUGUUUUGGAAUGUAAAGACCAGAAUCAGUAUCAAUUUUCUUGAUAUAAUUCACAUACCUAGGUGAUUUAUGUUUUUCCAAUUUGCAGAGAAUACAAUUGUUCUUCCAUUUCUUCCAGUCUUUCAAGUGCAGCCUGGGUAUUUUUUCAUCAUUUAAUAGAGUCUAAUUGUUUUUAACCCGCAUGUCAAUACUGUCCAAAAGUUUGUUAAAAAACAUUCCUUCAGAAUUUGGAUCUGCUGAAUUGAAGAGACCUGAUUUCAGCUCCACCAGAUGCAGAUAUGUGUUUUGUUUUCUGGUUAUCACUGUCAUACAGCUUAAAACAUGUAUGCUUUUCAGAAUAUAGUUGUCUAGGCAAACUGUCAGAUGUAUGAAAUUCAAUAUUGGUAUAUGCAAACACCGCAAACUUUUCUUUAAGGAGUAGAUGGGAGAAUAUGUUUAUAAUAUUAGGAAUCCUAGACUAUAUUUUCAAGUUAUCUGAGCAGCUAUGACCCUUAGGUGGAAGUGUUAUAUAUAAUACGUUAAAAACAUUUUGCUUUCCUCGCUAACGAUUUGUUCCUUUUCAAUUCAAAUUUGAAUAAUUUGUCAUGUAUUAUUAUUUCUGUUAAAUGUAUACUGUAUUUAAGAUGGAUAUAUUUGGUGGCUGUAUUUGUUCUGAUAUCUUAUGAUCUAAAUUAUGAGGUACCAAGAUUGUUUCUCUGUUUAUUUUUUCAAAUUAUGUUUAGAAAUACUGUAAUAAAUAUUCAGUAGUGAUAUAAAAUUAAGAAUUAUAUCAAAUACAAUAUAAAAGCCAUUACCUAUGAACUGAUCCAUGCCUCAUUUUGUAUAAGUUUUAUUCUGUGAUCUCUUGUUCACUUAAUAUCUUGUUAAAUGCUGAUAUCUCAGUCUUUCUGAAGCCCUGAAAUGGUAAUUUUAGCAGUUCAGAAAAUGUCUUUCAUUUCAAUCAAUAAAAAACUUCUGUAAAAAAAAUUACUGAAUAGACAACUGUUCCACAUUUACACUUAUUAAAAACUGACAUAAACAAACACAAUCUGUACAAAAAAUAUCCCAAAUCCCAUGUCACUUUGGAACAGUAAUAUUGAAAGACAUUGUCGCCUAAGACCCCCUCUUCCUCUGCCACGGCCAUGUCCUCUUCCUCUACUUCUGCCUCAGCUUCUUCCUGCAACAGCUUCCCUUUUCUUAGAUUUCACCUUAAGUUCACCAUCCACAAGUAGUGUAUCCAGAGAUAAACUGUCUGGUAGAAUAAAAUAUCAAUGUUAUUUCUUCGAAUACUCAGUGUUUCCAGCUGUACAGUUUCUCUGUUCUUCAGGGUCAUUUUCACAGCUUUAAGAUGUGUAUUCAUGCUGACAUCCACACCACUGGAUCAGUGGGUUCCAGUGGUUAAUCUCCCUGAACGGUGAUGGCAUCUGAAUGAAAAUAACUGAACCAAAUUGCACUGAAGUUUUUGAAAUACCUUUGUAAUUACUCAAGCCGUUACUCCCUACACUGACGCAAGGAUUACAGAAACUGAUGUCAAGGAGGUGAGUGAGUUCAACUACCUGUUCUGGGGGCCUGGACAUAAAAGACUUUGCAAAUAGAAAGAGGUGAAAAUGAAGAAGAAAGCUGUAUUGAAACAGAAAUACAAGUCAAAAGGAACAAUUACAAAGAAUCAUGCAGGAAGGAAAACUAGGUAUUGAUUUAGAAUGGUUGAGUUACAUUAAAAUAAACCAAAUAUGCUUUGUUAAAGUUUAAAUGUGCAGCCACAAUUUGAGUAUUUUUGGUUUAUAUGCCCUCAAGUAAAGGAAAAGCUGAAAGAAUUAAUCAUAUUUGAAAACCAUAUUUUAUUGUAUUUUGAUUAGAUAUUAAAUUUGCAGUUUUAUUAUAAAUUGUACUGUUAUUUUAUGACAUGAAAACUUAUACUAUAAAUUUGGACUGCUAUAGACUGCUUAGGUCCAACUUCAAGCGGAUCUGCAUUUUUUUAUGUCAUAUUAAAUAUUUAUU
rnacentral:lncRNA from 1 species